CACACAAUAUGAGGAAAAUAUGUGAGUACUGUUGAAUAUGGCAAUAACAAUAUCCCGUGCGAUAACUAAACAGAUAUAAAGUGGACUCAGUUCUGCCGUUCUGCUGCUUUCAAUAGUCUGCUAAAAUUCAACAAAUUGCUUCUAAAAAAAUGAAAUGAAUAU